rnacentral:rRNA from 1 species
UACGUAGGGGGCAAGCGUUGUCCGGAAUCAUUGGGCGUAAAGCGCGUGUAGGCGGUCCGGUAAGUCCGCUGUGAAAGUCGGGGGCUUAACCCUCGGAUGCCGGUGGAUACUGUCGGGCUUGAGUACGGAAGAGGCGAGUGGAAUUCCUGGUGUAGCGGUGAAAUGCGCAGAUAUCAGGAGGAACACCAAUGGCGAAGGCAGCUCGCUGGGACGUGACUGACGCUGAGACGCGAAAGCGUGGGGAGCAAACAGG